rnacentral:rRNA from 1 species
UGGGGAAUAUUGCACAAUGGGCGCAAGCCUGAUGCAGCCAUGCCGCGUGUAUGAAGAAGGCCUUCGGGUUGUAAAGUACUUUCAGCGGGGAGGAAGGGAGUAAAGUUAAUACCUUUACUCAUUGACGUUACCCGCAGAAGAAGCACCGGCUAACUCCGUGCCAGCAGCCGCGGUAAUACGGAGGGUGCAAGCAUUAAUCGGAAUUACUGGGCGUAAAGCGCACGCAGGCGGUUUGUUAAGUCAGAUGUGAAAUCCCCGGGCUCAACCUGGGAACUGCAUCUGAUACUGGCAAGCUUGAGGCUCGUAGAGGGGGGUAGAAUUCCAGGUGUAGCGGUGAAAUGCGUAGAGAUCUGGAGGAAUACCGGUGGCGAAGGCGGCCCCCUGGACGAAGACUGACGCUCAGGUGCGAAAGCGUGGGGAGCAAACAGG